UCGUGAUCUUUCGUAAACGUUCGGCUUCGAAUGGCGGACUAGUCUGUGGGUGUGGUGGCAGAGUGAAGAUUUUUGUAAUUGGUUUAUAUAUUAUUGCUUAUUUUAAGUUUCUUAAAACAUUAUGACUACGUGUGAUUUAUGUUAAUGACAUAUACAUUCCACACCGUGUGGAUUUGGUAGAGAAGAAUUCAAGAACGAGCAGAACAUAUCUUCUCCUGAAGUGGUCUUUGGCAUGAUGGCAGCAGCAAUACACAGUGGUUGGAAUACAUGAGUGAAUAAACGAAAUGGCAGCAGUACAUAACCAAAAAGCUUUUUGAAUGGAGGAUCUGCAACUAUGCUGAGCUAGAUGCACCAGUCAAUUUGCAAGCUACACCAUGAUCAUUUGAAGAACUUACUUUUCAACACCACUGCAUUUAGGAGGUUACAUGUUUGACCUUAUGCUACUCCCCUUGAAGAAACUGCCAUGAUGGCUGGAGAAAAUUUCAUUGUCAUAAUUUCUUCAAUUUUCACUUAUUUGGGAUCCAAUCUUCUGUAAAUUCUUUCAGUUUGCGCAUUUCCCCUCAAUAAGAACAGUGAUUCAGAAAUAUAAGGAUUCUUGCUUUUUACUGUCUUUGUUGUAUUAGGUACAUAAAAUUGCAGUUUUCAGUUGACAAUUUUCCUUCAUGUAAGUUGUCUGCGUGAUUCCUCCAGAUAUUUAAAUUCUGACACUUUUCUAAAUUGGCAUUUUGCAGUUUCCUUGCAUGAUCUUGUAGGAUAAUUUCAUAUGAACUGUUGGGCAGAAUUUAUGUUUGCCUUUGGUUCUAAAAAAAAUUGCCAUUGAAUAUUACUUUGUCUGCCAAUAACAGUUUAAAAACUUUAUUGGCUUAUCUUAAAUUACUUCUUAAUUGCUUUUAAAAUAUGCAGUGUCCUAUGUGCUAUUAAUAAAACCUGAAGAUGAGUAAUUUUAGCCAAAACCUGCUGUUCAGUAUUAAUACAACCAAUAAAGCGUGAAAAAGCAACAGUAUAAAAAAAUAUGCAGUUAACACACCGGGUUAAAAUUAAAAACAUUUUAGUUGUUCAGAGCCAGGAACAAUUUAAACAUUCCAAUUUUUCAAAUGUAUCAUGUUCAAAAUUAAAAUAGGAAGGUAAACACUUCAUAAUUGUUACUUUAUCAGAUGUAGCAGUUACCAGAUUUUGUUGAAAUACCAGUUGGUCACGUCAACUGCUGUGUUGUGUUCUGAGACAAGUAAGUACUUUCGCUGGCUUUAAAUAUGGUUUCUGUUCUCUUCAGUUCUCUAUGGUUCUGAUUAUGUAAGAAACUCUGAGAGUUGUUUUGUUCGUGCAUAUUUUAAUAACUUAACAUAGUUCAAUUCUUAAAGGAAAAGUAAAGAUGGACCCUGUAUUGAGCACAA